rnacentral:rRNA from 1 species
GACGUAGGAGGCGAGCGUUAUCCGGAUUCACUGGGCGUAAAGCGCAUGUAGGCGGUUGCACAAGUCCGUUGUUAAAGCCCCUGGCUCAACUGGGGGAGGUCAAUGGAGACUGUGCGACUUGAGGGCAAUAGAGGCACGUGGAACUCCCGGUGUAGCGGUGGAAUGCGUAGAGAUCGGGAAGAACACCAGUGCGAAGGCGACGUGCUGGGUUGCACCUGACGCUGAGAUGCGAAAGUGUGGGGAGCAAACGGG